rnacentral:rRNA from 1 species
GACGGAGGAUGCAAGCGUUAUCCGGAAUUAUUGGGCGUAAAGCGUCCGCAGGUGGACAUACAAGUCUGCUGUCAAAGUGCAGAGCUUAACUCUGUAAAGGCGGUGGAAACUGUAGGUCUUGAGUAUGGUAGGGGUAGAGGGAAUUCCCGGUGUAGCGGUGAAAUGCGUAGAUAUCGGGAAGAACACCAGUGGCGAAAGCGCUCUACUGGGCCAUAACUGACGCUGAGGGACGAAAGCUAGGGGAGCGAAAGGG